rnacentral:rRNA from 1 species
CCUACGGGGGGCAGCAGUGGGGAAUAUUGGACAAUGGGGGAAACCCUGAUCCAGCGACGCCGCGUGAGUGAAGAAGUAUUUCGGUACGUAAAGCUCUAUCAGCAGGAAAGAAAAUGACGGUACCUGACUACGACGCCCCGGCUAACUACGUGCCAGCAGCCGCGGUAAUACGUAGGGGGCAAGCGUUAUCCGGAUUUACUGGGUGUAAGGGGAGCGUAGACGGCAGCGCAAGUCUGGAGUGAAAUGCCGGGGCCCAACCCCGGAACUGCUCUGGAAACUGUGAAGCUGGAGUGCAGGAGAGGUAAGCGGAAUUCCUGGUGUAGCGGUGAAAUGCGUAGAUAUCAGGAGGAACACCGGCGGCGAAGGCGGCUUACUGGACUGUAACUGACGUUGAGGCUCGAAGGCGUGGGGAGCAAACAGGAUUAGAUACCCCGGUAGUC